rnacentral:rRNA from 1 species
AACGAACGCUGGCGGCAUGCCUAACACAUGCAAGUCGAACGAGACCUCCGGGACUAGUGGCGUAUGGGUGUGUAACCCGAGGGAACCUGACCUUAGGUUCGGACUAACUCUCCGAAUGGGGUGACAAUACCGGAUCAUGUCUUAGGACCAAAGAUUUAUCGCCCUUGGUUGGGCAGGCGUUGGAUUAGCUCGUUAGUAGGGUAAAAGGCUAACAAGGCGACGAUUAAUAGCUUGUCUGAGAGGAUGAUCAGCCACACUGAGACUGAGACGCGGCCGAGACUCCUACGGGAGGCAGCAGUGGGGAAUGGUGGACAGUGGGCGAAGUCCUGAUCCUGCUAUGCCGCGUGAAUGAUGAAAGCCUUAAAGUUGUAAAGCUCAUGUACCCGGGAUGAUAAUGACAGUACCGGAAGAGAAAGCUCCGGCUAACUCCGUG